GCUCCUCGGGUGGAAGGGAGUGUGGAACAGUGCAGACAGUGUGCAGAGCAUGAGCAAGCCUGUUUCUGCAUGACUGAGGAACCAUGAAUCGGCAAAUCAAGAAAAGCAAGAAAAUGAAGUCUUGGCAAUAUGGAGCGCUGCUGAGAACUGAUAUGUGGUUAUGCAAGAAUUUGUUGCAUUUAUGCUGAGGAAAGAUUGAAAAGUCUGUCUGUCUACACAUCAUCUACGAAGUGAAAGAACGUGCUUGGGAACGGUCAACACCUGAAGAAGGAGAGGGGACCUCAGGAGAGGAUCUUGGAGGAGGCACGCAUGAACUUCUGCCGUAUGUGUAAAAAUUUUCUUUCUUAAACUGGGUGGAGGGGCCUUUUUAUGCGUUGGAAACGCUUUUUUAGUGAAACUAAACUGAAGUACUUACGGAGUAGCUGAGCUGGGCGGACUGCGCAGGAGCCCAGGCACCAAUUGGCGUGAACUCUCCAGUUCUGGACCCACAUCCAGAGGUGUGUGAAGCCACCCCCCAGAGCCCAGCCAACGGUAAAUAGGACUGUGACCUGGGAAUCAGACCGUUCCCGAGCGCCCCCUGUGUGUGGUGUUCCUUGGGUGGUGGGGACCGCUGUGUUCAGCCCGUCCUUGGAAGAGGCGAGGGGUGCUGCCGUGGGAGGUAGAGAGAAGGGCAGGGGUGUGGUGCUCUUUUUUUCCAUUCCUACUUCAGCUAAACCAUUGCCACUUUUAUCCGUUUUGUGCCGCGAGCUCUUACCUACUCUUGUUGGUUGGCGGCUUUCGGGCAGGGAAACGGGCAAACGUGGACGCGCGCAGCUAAGGCAGGCGCGGUGGGCAGGGGGCUGGGCCGGGCAGGGACUGUGCCGCCCCCGCUUCUGGGUGGGAGCGGCCUGUCUCCU
rnacentral:lncRNA from 10 species